rnacentral:rRNA from 1 species
AUGGCGGACCGCGGCGGCGAGCGUGGUGGCGACCGCGGAGGCGAGCGCGGCGGGUUCGGCCGCGGCUUCGGGCGCGGCGGGCGCGGGGACCGUGGCGGGCGCCGCGGCGGCCGUCGUGGCCCUCGCCAGGAGGAGGAGAAGUGGGUGCCCGUCACCAAACUCGGCCGCCUCGUCAAGGAGGGCCGCUUCACCAAGAUGGAGGAGCUCUACCUCCACUCGCUACCCAUCAAGGAGCACCAGAUCGUGGAGCAGCUCUGCCCGGGGCUCAAGGACGAGGUGAUGAAGAUCACCCCCGUGCAGAAGCAGACCCGCGCCGGCCAGCGGACCCGCUUCAAGGCGUUCGUCGUCGUCGGCGACAGCAACGGCCACGUCGGGCUCGGCGUCAAGUGCGCCAAGGAGGUGGCCACGGCCAUCCGCGGCGCCAUCAUCCUCGCAAAGCUCUCCAUCGUGCCCGUUAGGAGGGGCUACUGGGGGAACAAGAUCGGCCUGCCCCACACCGUGCCCUGCAAGGUCACCGGCAAGUGCGGCUCUGUCACCGUGCGCAUGGUGCCCGCCCCGAGGGGUUCUGGAAUCGUCGCCGCGCGCGUCCCCAAGAAGGUGCUCCAGUUCGCUGGUAUUGAUGACGUCUUCACUUCCUCGCGUGGAUCCACCAAGACCCUCGGCAACUUCGUCAAGGCAACCUUCGACUGCCUGAUGAAGACCUAUGGAUUCCUCACCCCUGACUUCUGGAGGGAGACGACCUUCACCAAGGCACCGUACCAGGAGUUCACUGACAUUUUGGCGAAGCCGACGAAGGCCCUGAUGCUUGAUGCACCAGCCGAGAAGAUAGAAGCUUAG